rnacentral:rRNA from 1 species
CGGGUGAGCAAUGCUUCGGAAUCUGCCCAAUGAUGGGGAAUAACCAGUCGAAAGAUUGGCUAAUACCGCAUACGCCCUUCGGGGGAAAGCGGGGUCGCAAGACCUCGCGUCGAUGGAUGAGCCGAAGUCGGAUUAGCUAGUUGGUAGGGUAACGGCCUACCAAGGCGACGAUCCGUAGCUGGUCUGAGAGGACGACCAGCCACACUGGGACUGAGACACGGCCCAG